rnacentral:rRNA from 1 species
UACGUAGGGUGCGAGCGUUAAUCGGAAUUACUGGGCGUAAAGCGUGCGCAGGCGGUUCGUUGUGUCGGUGGUGAAAGCCCCGGGCUUAACCUGGGAAUGGCCAUGGAAACUGGCGAACUGGAGUGUGGCAGAGGGGGGUGGAAUUCCGCGUGUAGCAGUGAAAUGCGUAGAGAUGCGGAGGAACACCGAUGGCGAAGGCAGCCCCUGGGCCUGCACUGACGCUCAUGCACGAAAGCGUGGGGAGCAAACAGG